ensembl:lincRNA laminin subunit alpha-3-like
GAGCGAGUGGCUGAACUCCAGGUGGACCAGAUCUUGACCGAGAGUGAGACACGAGAGGCAGUUAUGGACCAGGUGAAGUUUCAGAGGUACAAGUGUGGUUCACUGCUGAUCUUUGUGAACCUGACUGUACUCGUCACACUCUCCCAUUUAUAUGUGUUCCUGAACCUUGUUUUUAGUAUCUUGGUGUUUGAUUCAUUAAUUUUCUAAUAAACAUUAUCAAAAUUUAAACAAAUUAAUCAGUUUGCAAGGCAUAAUUACACCAAAGAAGCCACCACCACUGGACCAAAGCACCCCAGUUUCAUGACAUGGAUAGUGGAAGUAACAACACACUUCUUAAUAUGGACACUGAAAAUGUUGUGUUUUACGUUGGAGGUUACCCACCUGAUUUUCAACUUCCAAGUAGAGUAAGAUUCCCUCCAUACAAAGGUUGUGUUGAAUUAGAUGACCUUAAUGAAAAAUGUUGUGAGCUUGUACAACUUCAAAAAAACUUUCAAUCUCAACACAACUGAAGUAGAACCUUGCAGACAGUGAGUGAAACUGGGUGGCCAGCAUCUCUGUACCUGGGAUGGGAACUGACUAUACUUCCACAUGUGGGAAGGGAUGGCCAGUGGGAUGCCAUGGAUACUGCUUGUCAUUUUGGGCUUACAGUUCUUAAAUUAUCUUUGCAUGCAACAAUAGCAGUGCAUCCCUAAAUCUAACAAUGGUGGGUUUUUCCUAACUUGAAUAAAACUUUUGACUGAUAGGGUUCUCUAAUUAAAAGAAAAAAUUCU